rnacentral:rRNA from 1 species
UACGUAGGGAGCAAGCGUUGUCCGGAAUCAUUGGGCGUAAAGCGCGCGUAGGCGGCCCCGUAAGUCCGCUGUGAAAGUCAAAGGCUCAACCUUUGAAAGCCGGUGGAUACUGUGGGGCUAGAGUCCGGAAGAGGUGAGUGGAAUUCCUGGUGUAGCGGUGGAAUGCGCAGAUAUCAGGAGGAACACCAAUAGCGAAGGCAGCUCGCUGGGACGGUACUGACGCUAAGGCGCGAAAGCGUGGGGAGCGAACAGG